GAGGUUGUACUUUCGAAGACUUACCUACUGCCGCACCGAUGAAAUCAGGAGCUAGGAUGUGCCUGAGAUAUCAUGUCUCUCUGUGUUUUUGAUAGCAGUCCUCUCCUCCCAAGUGUUUCAUCACCUCACAUGAGGGAAAAAAAAGAAAAAAGAAAUAAACUGGGGUUUGGGAGGGAAGAGUGAUGCUGGUUGGGUGCUGCCACAGAAGGUUCCAGCAGUGGGUGGAGUCCUGGUAGCUUCUGAGGGCGGGAGGAGAAGAGCCCUCGGGUCUGGGCUUGGUGUCUGCCCGAGCAGUCCUCGAAAGAGAGAGGAGGUUUGUCUGCAGUCGUUCUUUAGCUAUUUUUGUUAAGAAAACCGUGGGUUUCACAGCGUGGAGUUUCUGAGGUUAGUUAGGGUGCACUGGCUAUGAGGAGGGGUGCAGCUCCUUGCAGUACCUUGUAACUGACUAUAUCGACCUCGCUGGAGUAAACUGGAAAACAAAUGUGCAGAAGUGGUUUGAGUCCUUCCCACAUGCACAUCUCAGGCCGGGUGACAGCCCACUGCACGUCUGCAGCUGGGAUCUUUCGCAUGUGGAAUCUCACAAGGCAGUCGUCGUAGGGCACCUCCAGGUAAAUGCGAAUUUUGCAUCAUCUUUAAGCUGCUCCACUGCACUGUUUGUGACGUUACUUCCCUCAACGCAGAACUAGCUGCCUCGUCAAAAAAAGGUAAAUCUAGUGCGAGUGGGUGGCACCGACAGGCUGCAGGCCCUGAGUUUGUCAUGUAAAGGAGCAUGAAGUGCCUUAGCAUGUGACUGUGAGAGUUUAUAGGGAGAUCUUGUUUGACUUGUAACUCAGAAACUUCCUGUCUUUUGGAACUUCUCCCUCAUUCCUUCUCUUGCCUUUCCCUCGAGGAAAUCUUGAAACUUAGGAAAAACUUGAGGAAAACUUGAAACUUAGAGAAGGAUUUAUUGGUAAGCUGCACCACAGCUAGUAGAAAGAAGUAAAAAAAGGGUGCUACCUGUUUUCUUUGUUCUUACAAGGGUUCUCAAGGAAAGCUUUGUGUUUUUGUUGUUUUUUUGUUGUGUUUUUUUUUGCCUGGAGAAUACUGUAGUUUACAUACAUGUACACGUGAGAAGAAAAAUGUCACUGAUAUGAUGCGAGAAUUGAUGCAGUGAUUGGCGUGGUAGAAAACCUCCUCAAACAAUAGCAAGUAAACAGUACUAUUUCACCCCUUAUUUAGAUGCCUUAUAGAGUGAACAUUACAGGGAGAAGGAACAUGCAUCUACGGUUGAGUGAAGCAAAAAGUGGUAUGUAUGUUUUACUAUUACUGGGGAUAAAACCGUUUUCAUGAUGGUAGAUCUGGCAUGAAUAUUACAUGAGCAUGCAGUGUUCUAUACUCAGAAGUAUGAGCAUACGUAAAUGUGUCCUGCAAGGUGCAGUAAUGUGUUCUGCAGUUUCCCAUCAUAAUAACUAUUUCACUCAUUUUGUUUUACUCCAUAAAUAUACUCUUUAAUAUUACUGACUUAACCUUUGGGUUUGAGCCAUUGACGUGGAGUGCAUUUUUUGUUAAUUAUUGUCUAGCAAGAUAUCAGUUAUUCCAAGGAAUAUAAUCUUCCUUACUUUGCUUCCUGCUCUGCCCUUCACAGAAGCAGAAGCCACCUCACUUGCCCUAAAGUUCUGUAUUUCUUUUGUAUUGUGCUUCCUUAAU
ensembl:lncRNA